AAAAUGAAGAAUCAGGUCCACGUAACUUUAAAAAUAAAACUUUUAGCAUGCAUAAAUAAUAUAAUUUACAUUCUCUCCAUUGAUUUCUACUCCAAGUCUAACAACUAAAUUAAACAAAAUUUAAGAACUAUAAUAGAGUUUAGGACGCGCCAAACUUGGUCCAUGCAAGCAAACAAUUAAACAAGGGUUACAACGCUCAUAAUUAAAUUCCAUGAUAA
rnacentral:misc_RNA from 1 species